rnacentral:misc_RNA from 1 species
GAUGAAGAACGCAGCGAAAUGCGAUAAGUAAUGCGAAUUGCAGAAUCCGUGAAUCAUCGAAUCUUUGAACGCACAUUGCGCCCUCUGGUAUUCCGGGGGGCAUGCCUGUUCGAGCGUCAUUAUAACCACUCAAGCUCUCGCUUGGUAUUGGGGUUCGCGGUUUCGCGGCCCCUAAAAUCAGUGGCGGUGCCUGUCGGCUCUACGCGUAGUAAUACUUCUCGCGAUUGAGUUCGAUAGGUCUACUUGCCAGUAACCCCCAAUUUUUACAGGUUGACCUCGGAUCAGGUAGGGAUACCCGCUGAACUUAAGCAUAUCAAUAAGCGGAGGA